ACCGAGCCGGGCUGCCCGAGGACAUGGGGCCUGAGCCUGUUGGAAUCUACAACAACAUUGAUCGCUUUGGAAUUCUGCAUGAGACAGAGCUGCCUCCUGCCACUGCUCGGGAGGCGAAGCAAAUGCGGCGGGAGAUAACACGAAAGAGCAAGUGGAUGG